GGGGGGUAAUGACGUGAAAGGGAUGGUGUACCCUGUCAAAACGAUCUCUAGAACCCAAUGGUCGAUGGUGAUGCUGGACCAAUGUUGGUAAAAAGGUUUGAGCCGGUGAUGGAAAAUGGCAACUACAGGAUUGGGUUGGCAUGUGGUACAGGGGGUUUGUGAGCCCUUGACCAGGUUGUCAAACGUUCUGCUUGUUAGCAGGCUGAGUGGAGGGGCGGUUGUUUUGGGCAUGCCUCUUUUGGGGUCUUUGUCUCAUUCACUGGUGUUAGUCAAAAGGACAUUGGUGGUAUCUUGGCUGCAAGAAGUCAUAAUGUCUUUGGAAGGGCGUGUAUUUCUUGCAGCGGAAUGGGAGUGUGCACAUCCCCAGGAUUCAGAGAGUGCUUGAGUCCUUGCUUUAGUGGAGGACCUCAUCUGUUUUUUCAGCAAACAACUUUUAUUUGUCGAAUGGGAGGUCCUCCACCUUAGUCUGAAGCUCCCGUGGAACUCCAGCAUUCUGAAGACAUGAGGACCUUUUCAUAACUAUAGCGGUGGCUGUGGAUCCCACCACAUCCAAUGCAAUUUGCUGCCUAGUUCUGGCAGAGGCAUAUCACUCCUGAACAAUGGAUUUUAAAAUGGACCUUUUUGGAUUGGGCAAAUGUUCCAUCAGUGCUGUGAGUUUAGCAUAGUUGUCGAAGACAUGAUUCAACAGCAGCGAUGCAUAGUUGGCAAAGCAUAACAAAAGUGUCAAAGAAGAAUAUAUCUUUCUGCCAAAAAGGUUCAUACAUACGCUUACUUUCUUUCUCCACUGCAACAUUCUUAUACUGUGGAGUUUUUGCCCUCUGCUGGGCUGCAUCUAUGACCAGAGAAUUUGGUUGCGGAUGUGAGAACAAAAACUCUGAACCCUUGGUCAAAACAAAAUAUUUGUUGUCAGCCCUCUUGUUUGUAGGGGGUGCAGAGGCUGGGGUCUGCCAGAUUUCCACAGAGGACUUCAUAAUUGCUUCAAUCAGUCAGCAGCGCUAUUUUUGCAUGCUGGGAUGGUUGUAAAUUCUUGAGGAGACAAUAUUGUUUCUUCUGGACUUCUGUUAACUGGACCUCCUGGCUAGCAGCCACUCUUUUAAACAGUUCUUGAAACUGCUUAAGGUCGUCCGGGGGAGAUGUAUCUCCAGGGAUGAUGGCCUCAUCUGAUGAAGAGAAGGAUUGGAUCAUUGGUAAUGUAUCCGCCUGUUGCUCCUCCGGUUCAGAAAGUUGACCUUCCUCCAGCUCAGAUUGGUGUGGUGGGGAGGCAGGCACAUGAAGUUGUGGGGACAACUCAUGGUAUGAGUGCCUGGAUUGGUAGCAACAGGGGACCAGUGUCUUGAUGGAGGGUAAUACUGGCAUUGGUCAUGCGACAGUACGGUUGGUCAUAAUAGUAUCUAUGAUGGUCAUGAUACUGAUGUCUUGGUGAUGCCUGCCUAGAGGAAUAUGCACUUCUGUGUUCCUGCCAGCACAUAUCAUGACCUGAUGUAGUUGGAGAGUGAAGUGUCAUUGAGCCCCUUGAUGAAGGGGGAGGUGAGAGGGACAUUUGCCUCGGGUGAAUGGUGCAAUGAAAUGCACAUCCCGGUGUUGGUGGUAGAGGCAAGGGAGACCUGUGGUGUAGUAUUGGUGAUCUCAGUGCCAGUGAUGAGGAAGACGGAACUGGUGAGAAGUGGAGGAGAAGAGCUCGCUCCAUCUGCGACCGAGGGUGGCAACAAAAGAACUGGGGGGAGCCGGACUGCAUGUAUGAGAGAAAGGGCGCGAACGCCGCUAUCUGCUGACCGUGCAUGCAUAGUUCGGCUGACUACUGCUAUUGAGGACUCCGAUCUGUGGUGCCGGGACUAGCCCGAUACCUACAGUGGAGCACCCCUGGGGACAUCACUUGAAGAAGAACAUAUGACUCUCAGCAAGGCAGCCAAUUAUUACUAGAGACUACUUUUGUUGAUUAAAUGAGUAAAUUAGCUAAGAUCUAGUUUUGCAGUGAGUUGCUUGUCAAGUUCAAAUACAUUACCUAAAACUGCACCAAGAAUCUUCAAUGCUAACCAUGUUGAGUAUCACACAAGGGUGAUGCAGAUUGAUGUGAAGGGAUUCAUGUAGGUCCAGAAAUGUAGCUAGAGAAAAUGACCCCUGUUGGGUAUCAUUUGACCAAGGGACAUGCAAGUUACAGGAUUCCCUCCCCCAAAAUUGUUCUUCAUGCUGCUUUGUAUGGAUAAAUUGGGAGGUACUAAUGACUGGCUGCAUCGCAGACCUCACGGAGACUGAUGUCUAAAAAAUACCCCUUCAACUAACAUAAGAGGAAUAUUUUACUCACAAGCCCCCCACCUCCUAAGAUAAGAUGUUUUUGACUGAAUGGCUAGAGGUGGCCACAACUUGUGAGUCAUGAGUGGCAAUAUUAUUUUGGAAGAAGAUACUCAAAAGUAUUUGGGGAGGGGGAAUUAGAUCUGUGACUAACUGCUGGGAGAGAGACAGGUAUGAGGGGCAGAGGAGUGGGAGAAUAGGGAGAGAGAGAGAGGUUUGGGACUCAGAAGCAAGGAGGA